rnacentral:rRNA from 1 species
GAUGAACGCUGGCGGCGUGCCUAAUACAUGCAAGUCGAGCGAACAGACGAGGAGCUUGCUCCUCUGACGUUGGCGGCGGACGGGUGAGUAACACGUGGAUAACCUACCUAUAAGACUGGGAUAACUUCGGGAAACCGGAGCUAAUACCGGAUAAUAUAUUGAACCGCAUGGUUCAAUAGUGAAAUACGGUUUUUCUGUCACUUAUAGAUGGAUCCGCGCGGCAUUAGCUAGUUGGUAAGGUAACGGCUUACCAAGGCAACGAUGCGUAGCCGACCUGAGAGGGUGAUCGGCCACACUGGAACUGAGACACGGUCCAGACUCCUACGGGAGGCAGCAGUAGGGAAUCUUACGCAAUGGGCGAAAGCCUGACGGAGCAACGCCGCGUGAGUGAUGAAGGUCUUCGGAUCGUAAAACUCUGUUAUUAGGGAAGAACAAAUGUGUAAGUAACUAUGCACGUCUUGACGGUACCUAAUCAGAAAGCCACGGCUAACUACGUG